CGGGGGGAGCAAGCGUUGUUCGGAUUUACUGGGCGUAAAGGGCGCGUAGGCGGCCACCGCAAGUCGACUGUGAAAUCUCCGGGCUUAACCCGGAAAGGUCAGCCGAUACUGCGGGGCUAGAGUGCAGAAGGGGCAACUGGAAUUCUCGGUGUAGCGGCGAAAUGCGUAGAUAUCGAGAGGAACACCUGCGGCGAAGGCGGGUUGCUGGGCUGACACUGACGCUGAGGCGCGAAAGCUAGGGGAGCGAACGGGAUUAGAUACCCCGGUAGUCCUAGCCUUAAACGAUGAAUGCUUGGUGUCUGGGGUUUUAUAGUCCCCGGGUGCCGUCGCUAACGCUUUAAGCAUUCCGCCUGGGGAGUACGGUCGCAAGACUG
rnacentral:rRNA from 1 species